rnacentral:tRNA from 1 species
GGAGGGAUGGCCGAGUGGUUGAAGGCACCGGUCUUGAAAAUCGGCGUGCAGCAUGCUGUGCCGUGGGUUCGAAUCCCACUCCCUCCGCCA